rnacentral:rRNA from 1 species
UACGGGGGGGUAAGCGUUGUUCGGAAUUACUGGGCGUAAAGGGCUCGUAGGCGGCCAACUAAGUCAGACGUGAAAUCCCUCAGCUUAACUGGGGAACUGCGUCUGAUACUGGAUGGCUUGGAUUCGGGAGAGGAAUGCGGAAUUCCAGGUGUAGCGGUGAAAUGCGUAGAUAUCUGGAGGAACACCGGUGGCGAAAGCGGCUUCCUGGUCCAGCAUCGACGUUCAGGCACGAAAGCGUGGGGAGCAAACAGG